UAUGGCGACCGGCGCACGGGUGAGUAACACGUAUCCAACCUGCCGAUGACUCGGGGAUAGCCUUUCGAAAGAAAGAUUAAUACCCGAUGGCAUAGUUCUUCCGCAUGGUAGAACUAUUAAAGAAUUUCGGUCAUCAUGGGGAUGCGUUCCAUUAGGUUGUUGGCGGGGUAACGGCCCACCAAGCCUUCGAUGGAUAGGGGUUCUGAGAGGAAGGUCCCCCACAUUGGAACUGAGACACGGUCCAA
rnacentral:rRNA from 1 species